rnacentral:rRNA from 1 species
GACGAACGCUGGCGGCGUGCCUAAUACAUGCAAGUUGAGCGCUGAAGGUUGGUACUUGUACCCACUGGAUGAGCAGCGAACGGGUGAGUAACGCGUGGGGAAUCUGCCUUUGAGCGGGGGACAACAUUUGGAAACGAAUGCUAAUACCGCAUAAAAACUUUAAACACAAGUUUUAAGUUUGAAAGAUGCAAUUGCAUCACUCAAAGAUGAUCCCGCGUUGUAUUAGCUAGUUGGUGAGGUAAAGGCUCACCAAGGCGAUGAUACAUAGCCGACCUGAGAGGGUGAUCGGCCAAAUUGGGACGGAGACACGGCCCAAACUCCUACGGGAAGCAGCAAUAGGGGAACUUCGGACAAGGACGAAAGUCUGGCCGAGCAACGCCGCGGGGGUGAAGAAGGGUUUCGGGUCGGAAAAGUCUGUUGGUAGAGAAGAAAGUGGGUGAGAGUGGAAAGCUCAUCAAGUGACGGUAACUACCCAGAAAGCAACGGCUAACUACGUG